rnacentral:rRNA from 1 species
CCUACGGGAGGCUGCAGUGGGGAAUAUUGGGCAAUGGGCGCAAGCCUGACGCAGCGACGCCGCGUGAAGGAAGAAGUCUUUCGGGUUGUAAACUUCUUUUCGCAGGGACGAAGCUGGUGGCGGUACCUUAAGAAUAAGCCACGGCCAACUACGUGCCAGCAGCCGCGGUACGACGAGGGGGGCAAUCGUUAUCCGGAUGUGCUGGGUGUAAAGGGCGUGUAGGCGGGGCGGCAAGUCAGAUGUGAAACCCCAGGGCUCAACCUUGGGGCUGCAUUGGAAACUGUGGUUCUUGAGUACGGGAGAGGCAGACGGAAUUCCUAGUGUAGCGGUGAAAUGCGUAGAUAUUAGGAGGAACACUAGUGGCGAAGGCGGUCUGCUGGACAGCAACUGACGCUGAGGCGCGAAAGCGUGGGGAGCAAACAGGAUUAGAUACCCCAGUAGUC